GGUUAAGUGAAUAAGGGCGCGUGGUGGAUGCCUUGGCACUAGGAGCCGAUGAAGGACGUGACUAACUACGAUAAGCUUCGGGGAGCGGUAAGUACGCUAUGAGCCGGAGAUUUCCGAAUGGGGAAACCCAACAUUAUAAUGUUAUCUAAAAGUCAAUACAUAGCUUUUAGAAGGAAUACGCUGUGAACUGAAACAUCUCAUUAGCAGCAGGAGCAGAAAGAAAAAUCGAUUCCCUGAGUAGCGGCGAGCGAAACGGGAAGAGCCCAAACCAGGAUGCUUGCAUCUUGGGGUUGUAGGACUGUCGUUGAGUUACCAAGUAAGCAUUUAGGUGAAAACGUUGGGAAGCGUUAUCAAAGAGGGUGAUAAUCCCGUAACCGAAAGAUGACUUACCUCUAGACAGGAUCCUGAGUACGGCCGGACACGAGAAAUCCGGUCGGAAUCUGCGGGGACCAUCCCGUAAGGCUAAAUACUCCCUAGUGACCGAUAGUGAACCAGUACCGUGAGGGAAAGGUGAAAAGCACCCCGGAAGGGGAGUGAAAUAGUUCCUGAAA
rnacentral:rRNA from 1 species